CCUACGGGUGGCAGCAGUAGGGAAUCUUUCACAAUGGGCGAAAGCCUGAUGGAGCAACGCCGCGUGCAGGAUGAAGGCCUUCGGGUUGUAAACUGCUUUUAUAAGCGAGAAAUAUGAUGGUAACUUAUGAAUAAGGAUCGGCUAACUACGUGCCAGCAGCCGCGGUAAUACGUAGGGGGCAAGCGUUAUCCGGAUUUACUGGGUGUAAAGGGAACGUAGACGGUGCGCCAAGUCUGGAGUGAAAUGCCGCAGCUUAACCGUGGAACUGCUUUGGAAACUGGCGAACUAGAGUGCGGGAGGGGUAAGCGGAAUUCCUGGUGUAGCGGUGAAAUGCGUAGAUAUUAGGAGGAACACCGGUGGCGAAGGCAGCUUACUGGACCGUAACUGACGUUGAGGCUCGAAAGCGUGGGGAGCAAACAGGAUUAGAUACCCCAGUAGUC
rnacentral:rRNA from 1 species